CACGUAGGGCGCAAGCGUUGUCCGGAAUUAUUGGGCGUAAAGAGCUCGUAGGUGGCCUGUCGCGUCGGCUGUGAAAACUCGGGGCUCAACUCCGAGCUUGCAGUCGAUACGGGCAGGCUAGAGUUCGGCGGGGAGACUGGAAUUCCUGGUGUAGCGGUGAAAUGCGCAGAUAUCAGGAGGAACACCGAUGGCGAAGGCAGGUCUCUGGGCCGAUACUGACGCUGAGGAGCGAAAGCGUGGGGAGCGAACAGG
rnacentral:rRNA from 1 species